rnacentral:rRNA from 1 species
AGCGAACGCUGGCGGCAUGCCUAACACAUGCAAGUCGAACGAAGCCUUCGGGCUUAGUGGCGCACGGGUGCGUAACGCGUGGGAAUCUGCCCUCAGGUACGGAAUAACUCAGGGAAACUUGAGCUAAUACCGUAUAAUGACUUCGGUCCAAAGAUUUAUCGCCUGAGGAUGAGCCCGCGUCGGAUUAGCUAGUUGGUGAGGUAAAAGCUCACCAAGGCGACGAUCCGAGCUGGUCUGAGAGGAUGAUCAGCCACACUGGGACUGAGACACGGCCCAGACUCCUACGGGAGGCAGCAGUGGGGAAUAUUGGACAAUGGGCGAAAGCCUGAUCCAGCAAUGCCGCGUGAGUGAUGAAGGCCUUAGGGUUGUAAAGCUCUUUU